CGGGAUAGCUCAGCUGGUAGAGCAGGACUGAAAAUC
rnacentral:tRNA from 1 species